UACGAAGGGGGCUAGCGUUGCUCGGAAUCACUGGGCGUAAAGCGCACGUAGGCGGGUUCUUAAGUCAGGGGUGAAAUCCCGAGGCUCAACCUCGGAACUGCCUUUGAUACUGGGAAUCUUGAGUUCGGGAGAGGUGAGUGGAAUUGCGAGUGUAGAGGUGAAAUUCGUAGAUAUUCGCAAGAACACCAGUGGCGAAGGCGGCUCACUGGCCCAAUACUGACGCUGAGGUGCGAAAGCGUGGGGAGCAAACAGG
rnacentral:rRNA from 1 species